rnacentral:lncRNA from 1 species
ACUUGAGUCAAAUAUGGAUUUGGUAUAAAGUCCCUUUGGAGUUCGAUCUAGAACUCUCCAUGGUUGGCGAUCGAGUAAACAAUCCACCUAUUGACCGACUAGGUGUAUAUUUUGAAGAAGCACUCCGAGCGGACUUAAGAUUUUCUAUUCUUCCUUUCAUCCUUGAUGUCUUCCAUUUUUACAACCUUUUCUUUUGCGCGAUUAUCCCGAACUCUUUUAGGUUUGUUGUAGGCUAUUUGGUCAUUUGUGUUAUGGCGAACGUUCAGUCAUCCAUC